rnacentral:rRNA from 1 species
UACGUAGGGACCAAGCGUUGUUCGGAUUUACUGGGCGUAAAGGGCGCGUAGGCGGUGCGGUAAGUCACUUGUGAAAUCUCUGAGCUUAACUCAGAACGGCCAAGUGAUACUGCAGUGCUAGAGUGCAGAAGGGGCAAUCGGAAUUCUUGGUGUAGCGGUGAAAUGCGUAGAUAUCAAGAGGAACACCUGAGGUGAAGACGGGUUGCUGGGCCGACACUGACGCUGGAGCGCGAAAGCCAGGGGAGCAAACGGG